rnacentral:rRNA from 1 species
UGAGUAGCAAUACAAGGGAAGACCUAGUGGCGAACGGGUGAGUAUCACGUGAGAAACCAACCCCGGUCUCUGGGAUAACAGUUGGAAACGACUGCUAAUACUGGAUGUCGUCGUACCCUCGCAUGGGGGGAUGACGAAAGGGUUACCGGAUCGGGACGGUCUCGCGGCCUAUCAGCUUGUUGGGGAGGUAACGGCUCACCAAGGCUUCGACGGGUAGCUGGUCUGAGAGGAUGAUCAGCCACACUGGGACUGAGACACGGCCCAGACUCCUACGGGAGGCAGCAGUGGGGAAUCUUGCGCAAUGGGCGAAAGCCUGACGCAGCAACGCCGCGUGCGGGAUGAAGGCCUUCUGGUUGUAAACCGCUUUUAACAGGAACGAAAAUGACGGUACCUGUAGAAUAAGGUGCGGCCAACUACGUGCCAGCAGCCGCGGUGACACGUAGGCACCAAGCGUUGUCCGGAUUUAUUGGGCGUAAAGAGCUCGUAGGCGGUUCAGUAAGUCGAGUGUGAAAACUCUGGGCUUAACCCAGAGACGCCACUCGAUACUACUGUGACUAGAGUUCGGUAGGGGAGCGGGGAAUUCCUAGUGUAGCGGUGAAAUGCGCAGAUAUUAGGAGGAACACCGGUGGCGAAGGCGCCGCUCUGGGCCGAUACUGACGCUGAGGAGCGAAAGCGUGGGUAGCAAACAGGAUUAGAUACC